GCGUUACGUGGCGGCUCGAAAGGGCGAAGGCGAAAGGGGAGUGUCGGGCCCCGCCCCCAGCUCAGGUCCCGCCCCGGAUCCGCCCCGCCUCGACCCACCCCUCGCGCGUAACUCCCGCGGGACGCCUGCCGCCCACGUGGUCGAAUCCCAGCCCCGAGGGCCGAGCGGAUCCUUUCAGACGACACGCUGUGGUUCUCGCGGAGUGUGACUGCCGCCGAGCGGGACCUGCUGCUGGCUGUCGAGUCUGGAGUCUUGAGUGGAGACGGAAGUGACAUUCCCUUCGGCCAGCGUGACAGAUUCUUCUCAUCAUUUCUCCCUGAGAUUAGGGCAGUAGUCUCCAACUAGUUUGUCUGCAUUCAGCCCUGGCUUCUCUCCCAGUGCAGUCCCCGGUGCACCCAUGGGUGUGUUGUGUGUUUCCAGCUCCUGCCUCCUCUUCAUCUGCAAGCUGGGCCAUGCUGUCCUAAAAGCUUACCUUGACCUCCGAUGCACAGCUCCAUGCUGGCGCUGGCAGCUGCUGACAUACAGCACACACUCACUAAAAGCUUCUGAUCUGCGCUGUUAAUGUGGAAACCUUGGCAAAAGCAAUGAACUAUCACUGCACAAGAUUGUUUCUCAGUUCGGAGACGUGGGGUAGAGCAUUGUAUAUCCUUAUACUUGCUUAAGAGGAUGGGUAGAAAAGACAAUUUGUAUUUGAAACACAUCACACACAGGUUAAGGACUAGUUACACCAGGUGUAAUCCCAGCACUGAGGGAAGCUGAGGCAGGAGGGUCUUGCAAGUUCGCACCCAGCCUAGACAACUUCAAGAGAUCCUGUCUCAAAAUUAAAAAUAAAAAAGAGCUGGGCUGUUAUCUCAGUGGUAAAGUACCCAUGAUAAAGACUGGUUACUGGAAAAUCAGUGUCUGAAACCAGUGUUGGUGCGAGCAUGCAUUAUUGUCC
ensembl:lncRNA